UAAGGGAUAUUGCGCAAUGGGCGAAAGCCUGACGCAGCAACGCCGCGUGGAGGAAGAAGGCUUCGGGUCGUAAACUCGUUUUGACGCUGAGGAAGACUGACCGUAGGCGUCGAAUAAGUCACAGCUAACUACGUG
rnacentral:rRNA from 1 species